GAUGAACGCUGGCGGCGUGCUUAACACAUGCAAGUCGAACGGAAAGGCUCCUGCUUGCAGGGGUACUCGAGUGGCGAACGGGUGAGUAACACGUGGGUGAUCUGCCCUGCACUUCGGGAUAAGCCUGGGAAACUGGGUCUAAUGCCGGAUAGGACGAUGGUUUGGAUGCCAUUGUGGAAAGUUUUUCGGUGUGGGAUGAGCUCGCGGCCUAUCAGCUUGUUGGUGGGGUAAUGGCCUACCAAGGCGUCGACGGGUAGCCGGCCUGAGAGGGUGUACGGCCACAUUGGGACUGAGAUACGGCCCAGACUCCUACGGGAGGCAGCAGUGGGGAAUAUUGCACAAUGGGCGCAAGCCUGAUGCAGCGACGCCGCGUGGGGGAUGACGGCCUUCGGGUUGUAAACUCCUUCCGCUAGGGACGAAGCGCAAGUGACGGUACCUGGAGAAGAAGCACCGGCUAACUACGUG
rnacentral:rRNA from 1 species